UCAGGGAGGAAUAAAUGACGUGUACCUGAAGAAUAAGCAUCGGCUAACUCCGUGCCAGCAGCCGCGGUAAGACGGAGGAUGCAAGUGUUAUCCGGAAUCACUGGGCGUAAAGCGUCUGUAGGUGGCUCGACAAGUCAACUGUUAAAUCUUGAAGCUCAACUUCAAAAUCGCAGUCGAAACUAUCGGACUAGAGUAUAGUAGAGGUAAAGGGAAUUUCCAGUGGAGCGGUGAAAUGCGUAGAGAUUGG
rnacentral:rRNA from 1 species